AGGGUUUGAUCCUGGCUCAGAACGAACGCUGGCGGCAUGGCUAAAACAUGCAAGUCGCGCGCGAAAGUCUCCUUCGGGAGGCGAUUAGAGCGGCGGAAGGGCGAGUAAUGCAUGGGCAACGUACCUCCUGCACGGGGAUAGCUCACUGAAAAGCGAGAUAAUACCCGAUGCUGCCAUUGGCACUCAAGUGCCUGUGGUGAAAGAUGGGGACCCUUCGGGGCCUGUCGGCGGGAGAGCGGCCCAUGUCCUAUCAGCUUGUUGGUGAGGUAACGGCUCACCAAGGCUACGACGGGUACCGGGACUGAGAGGUUGGCCCGGCGCAUUGGGACUGAGACACUGCCCAGACUCCUACGGGAGGCUGCAGCAACGAAUAUUCCGCAAUGGGCGAAAGCCUGACGGAGCAAUGCCGCGUGUGGGAUGAAGCUUUUCGGAGUGUAAACCACUGUCAGGGACCACCAAGCAAUGGAGGCCAAUACCCCCCCGCGUUGAGGAAUCCCAGAGGAAGCCACGGCUAACUUCGUGCCAGCAGCCGCGGUAAUACGAAGGUGGCAAGCGUUGUUCGGAAUCACUGGGCUUAAAGAGCACGUAGGCGGAUCUGUAAGCGUCUUGUGAAAGCCCCCGACUCAAUCGGGGAACUGCUGGGCGAACUGCAGGUCUUGAGGCAAGUAGAGGUGCGUAGAACUCUUGGUGGAGCGGUGAAAUGCGUAGAUAUCAAGAGGAAUGCCGGAGGCGAAAGCGGCGCACUGGGCUUGUCCUGACGCUGAGGUGCGAAAGCCAGGGGAGCGAACGGGAUUAGAUACCCCGGUAGUCCUGGCUGUAAACGAUGCCUACUAGGUCGGAGAGCUUUUGACGGUCUUCCGGUCGGAACUAAAGCGUUAAGUAGGCCGCCUGGGGAGUACGGUCGCAAGGCUAAAACUCAAAGGAAUUGACGGGGGCUCACACAAGCGGUGGAGCAUGUUGCUUAAUUCGAUUCAACGCGAAGAACCUUAUCCUGGGCUUGACAUGCUUGGAUGCCCAUCUGGAAACAGAGUAGGCUGCCCUUCGGGGUGAAACUUGCACAGGUGCUGCAUGGCUGUCGUCAGCUCGUGUCGUGAGAUGUUGGGUUAAGUCCCGUAACGAGCGAAACCCUUGUCGUUAGUUGCCAGCGGGUCAUGCCGGGGACUCUAGCGAGACUGCCGGUGUUAAACCGGAGGAAGGUGGGGAUGACGUCAAGUCCUCAUGGCCUUUAUGCCCAGGGCUGCAAACGUGCUACAAUGGCCGGUACAAACCGACGCGAGACCGCGAGGUGGGGCAAAUCGGAAAAAGCCGGCCCCAGUUCGGAUUGGAGUCUGCAACUCGACUCCAUGAAGUCGGAAUCGCUAGUAAUCGCAGAUCAGCUACGCUGCGGUGAAUGUGUUCCUGAGCCUUGUACACACCGCCCGUCAAGUGAUGGAAGCUGGAAGCACCCGAAGUCGGUUCGUUACAGGACUGCCGAAGGUGAGUUCGGUGACUGGCACUAAGUC
rnacentral:rRNA from 1 species